rnacentral:rRNA from 1 species
UUUAUUAGAUAAAAAGCCAGUUCAUGCUUUUACAGUAUGAAAAUUGGUGAUUUAUAAUAACUUAGCAAAUCGCAAAGUGAAAACAGGCGAUAAAUCAUUCAAGUUUCUGACCUAUCAGCUUUCGACGGUAUGGUAUUGGCUUACCGUGGCAGUGACGGUUAACGGGGGAUUAGGGUUCGAUUCCGGAGAGGGAGCCUGAGAAACGGCUACCACAUCUAAGGAAGGCAGCAGGCGCGCAAAUUACCCAAUUCUAACAGUUUGAGAGAGGUAGUAACAAGAAAUAACAAUACAAGGCAGUUAAAAUGCUUUGUAAUUGGAAUGAUAGAAAUUUAAACCCUUUUUAAAGUAUCAAUUGGAGGGCAAGUCUGGUGCCAGCAGCCGCGGUAAUUCCAGCUCCAAUAGCGUAUAUUAAAAUUGUUGCAGUUAAAAAGCUCGUAGUUGAAGUUCUGCUGAAAGUAACCGGUCUGCUUUUAAUAAAAGUGGUAUCUUGGUAUGUAUUUAGCAAUGAUGUCCUUUGAAGUGUUUUUUACUUUAUUGUAAUAAAGCAUAUUCAGGACUUUUACUUUGAGAAAAUUAGAGUGUUUCUAGCAGGCUAACGCUUUGAAUACUGCAGCAUGGAAAUAAUAA